GUAAUGAACACUGAAAAACCCUUUUGGGAGUGUUUAACAUUAAUAAUAAUAAUAAUAACUCAAGUUUAUCUAUUGGUCGAGUGACGAGGAUAAAAUAUCGAGUGUAAAAUGUAGAGGGUCAAAAAUUACAAGAAAUGCUAUACUAACGUCAGGUCACAGCUUCGGAUAAAGAAAUAGCGAAAAUUACGCAAUCUUCUUCGCAUUAAGCGUUUUUUAAACAGACUAUAGUCAAACGUAUAUGCUCACGUACAU